UACGUAGGGGGCAAGCGUUGUCCGGAAUCAUUGGGCGUAAAGAGCGUGUAGGCGGCCCGGUCAGUCCGCCGUGAAAGUCCAGGGCUCAACCCUGGAAUGCCGGUGGAUACUGCCGGGCUGGAGUCCGGAAGAGGCGAGUGGAAUUCCUGGUGUAGCGGUGAAAUGCGCAGAUAUCAGGAGGAACACCGAUGGCGAAGGCGGCGACCUGGUCCGUGACUGACGCUGGAGGCGCGAAAGCGUGGGGAGCAAACAGG
rnacentral:rRNA from 1 species